GCGGCGCUCGGGCCUCGCCCCUCGGCCUCUCCCCUCAGCCGCCUCCCCAGCCGCCCCGGCACAGCAGCGAGCGGCCUUGGGCUCGGCUGCCUUCAGUACCGCUCCCCCGUGUGAGGUGUUGCCGUGGGCACGGGGCUGCGCCGCUGGCUCCUGGGCAGCCCCGGCCCUGCAGGAAGCACCGCGCAUCCGAGAGAACUAAGGGAAGUGAACAAAAACUUGGAAGAGUUACAUUUAAAGCCCUUGUUCCAGUCCCUGUCUGCCUGUGUGUGGCCCUGGUCUGCCUGAGGAAGUGCCAUGGGGCUGAGAAAAGUACAAUUUAAGAGCAUGGAGCAUUCCGGGGUGUGUGUAUUCUUUGUAUAAAAGAAAGACUUAAAUGGCACAAUUUGGAUGAUCUCUGGACUUAAACCCAUUACCAGGAAAAAAUAAUGAUGCAAUUUUGAGAGCCAAAUGAAGAGACAACACAUAAUACCAUAUACAAGGAAAAUCAGAGGAGAUCUUUAACAGGGAAAGAGGAGGUACAUGAUGGAGCUAUUUACCAGCAGAUGGCGUGCCUGCCUCCCUGAGACCAGAGAUCCCAGCAGAAUGUAAAUGAUACGAGAAACUUGUAUAACAUAGAAACAAUUGUAUAAUAUAAGAAACAAUUAUGCAAGAAAUGUGCUCCUCUUUCCUUAGAGGAAAGUAGUGAUGCUACCACAAUAUUUUUGAAGGAGAAAUGUCAACAUUUUUGACUGCAUGACUAUGUGUUUGAAUUGUAUUAAAGGGCAGAUCUCUUCCUUUCCUUCACUAACCUCCACACACAUAAGCAAUUGAUUAUUAAUAAGAGAUUUUAUUUAAGUUCCUUUUUUUAAAAUAAUCCAUACUGGGAAAAAUAAAAGGCCAGCUGACAAAAAUUGCUUUGUCUGCCCCCUAGAAAUGGAAAAAGAGAAAUUAUUUUGCAAGCCACAGACAAGGCAAAAUGAUGAUGGAAGUUAUACCAAACCUUGCUCUAAGUAACCCUCAGGUAAACAAGUCCUGUGGUAAAAUCACGGCAUGAUGGAUAAAGCAAACUCUUACUACUGUCCUCUAGAUAUCAUGAUGUGGAAGAGGAGCAGCUGGAUACCAGGGCUGCCACUUUUGAAGCUAAAUAGGUUUUGACAUGCUCGUUAAAGAAAAGCUACAGUAAGGCACUACAAAUUCACCAUGGUGCCCAUCCUGCUGUGACAUGCUCUGGAGCAAGCAGGCUCCUGCUCAGGUGCUGGCAAUAAACAGGCCAAGCCUGGGAAACCGGGACAUGGACACCCACAUCAGGUCCACAUUGGCCAUUCUGGCUUGGUCACUCAGCAUAGAUUUUUAAUGACUUCCUUGAUAAAAUCAGAGAGAAUAUGCAGUUAAACUUGUAGCACAGUGCUCUUCCAUGUAUAGGUUUUAUUUCUUACCAAAACAGCAUGGCUUUUACAUAUAUAUGCACAUAUAAAUAAAUAGAAUGCCAACAUAAAUAAAUACUUACACUUUUAAAUAUAUACACAUUAGGAGGACUUGCUAUUGCAACUGGCAGAUAUUUGUAAACAUGUAUAGGUCUUGUCCAACAGCCCUUUCUUACAAAAGAAGAUACAACAAAUGCAGAGACUUGGUAUAAGACAUUUAAGAAAAAGGAUUGUGUGAUUCUUUCAUAUAUAUGUCUAAAAGAAAGCCUGAAGAUCAGAGCUGAGUGAAGAUGAAUUGGAGAAGCGGUGAUAAAUAGUAAGUUAUUAGACAUAAUUUGGAAUAUUCAGAACUUCAAUUACAAAAUUUAAAGAAUCAUCCUGCUCUUCAAAUUCCUGAAAUAAUCCUGUUCCUUUUCAGAAUCCUUCAUGUUACAGGGCCUGGCUCAUUAAAAGCUGUGAUUUCAAGUUGUUCAGAG